rnacentral:rRNA from 1 species
GGGCCCGACGUCGCAUGCUCCCGGCCGCCAUGGCGGCCGCGGGAAUUCGAUUAAGGGAUAGCCCAGAGAAAUUUGGAUUAAUACCUUAUAGUAUAUAAGAAUGGCAUCAUUUUUAUAUUAAAGAUUUAUCGGUGAAAGAUGAGCAUGCGUCCCAUUAGCUAGAUGGUAAGGUAACGGCUUACCAUGGCGACGAUGGGUAGGGGUCCUGAGAGGGAGAUCCCCCACACUGGUACUGAGACACGGACCAGACUCCUACGGGAGGCAGCAGUGAGGAAUAUUGGUCAAUGGGCGCAAGCCUGAACCAGCCAUGCCGCGUGCAGGAUGACGGUCCUAUGGAUUGUAAACUGCUUUUAUACAGGAAGAAACAACUCUACGUGUAGAGUCUUGACGGUACUGUAGGAAUAAGGAUCGGCUAACUCCGUGCCAGCAGCCGCGGUAAUACGAAUCACUAGUGAAUUCGCGGCCGCCUGCAGGUCGACCAUAUGGGAGAGCUCCCAA